rnacentral:rRNA from 1 species
CCCUUAGAUGUUCUGGGCCGCACGCGCGCCACACUGAAGGCAUCAGCGUGUCCUUCCCUCCCCGAGAGGGGCGGGUAACCCGCUGAACCGCUUUCGUGGUAGGGAUCGGGGCUUGCAAUUAUUCCCCGUGAACCAGGAAUUCCCAGUAAGCGCGAGUCAUAAGCUCGCGUUGAUUACGUCCCUGCCCUUUGUACACACCGCCCGUCGCUACUACCGAUUGAACGUUUUAGUGAGGUAUUUGGAUCGGACCUGAAGGGGUUCACGCCCUUUCUGUGUCUGAGAAGACUCCCAAACUUGAGCGUUUAGAGGAAGUAAAAGUCGUAACA